ensembl:lncRNA
GAGCACCUGCUGUGUACUUGCGGAGCACUUCUACCCACUUUACAUAGACUAUGUUAAAUCCUUGCAAAUACUCUACUGGGUAGUUGUAUUAUUGAUGCGGGAUCGGUGAGCCGAGGAGUCGAAAGAAAGAUUUCUUAGACUCUCAAGAUCUGGCAGUAGUGCUCUUUUAUUUAGAGAAUAGUGUGGAAUAGCAUGGGGACAGGACCCAUGGGCAGGCAGAGCUUCUGCUGCUGCUGCCGCUGGCAUGGGGACAGGACCCAUGGGCAGGCAGAGCUGGUGCGUGGGGACAGGACCCACGGGCGGUCAGAGCUCCUGCUGCUGCCGAGUUGAGGGUUAGGGCUAAUUUUAUAAGGCAUGGGUACGUGACUUAUUUUUACUGGAGAAAAGAAAAGAUGAUGUAAAAAGUCAUUAAAUGAUUUCAGUGCAGAUGGGGUCUGGUUAUUGUGCGGUCAUAUAACUUUAGAUACGAAUCUGGCCAUAUAGAUCGGCAUGCAGGUGAGGAUGCCCCGGGCUUCUCUCCCUGGGGCAGUCCUAAUUCAUACCAUAAAAAAAGUCCACUGGGUCGUAUAGUUUGGCACGUAGGCCAGGUCACCUUGGGCUUCUCUAGCUGGGGCAGCCUUAAUCCACAUCAUAAACCCCCCCUGAACCCAUUUGGCCCCAAAAUCUUUUGGGGAUAUGGACGACGGUCAGUCUUCUGUAACUACUUCCGGCUGUACAAGGUCGUAGAGCUGUCCCUAAAUGGGGCCAUAGGUAUAGGUAGGGGGUUCAGCGGACCGGAAGACUGCACCCGUGGAGUCCAAGGCUGACAAGGCAUCCAGAGCCUCUGGGGACGAGAGAAUCAUUUGUCGAGUGGUGGUCCAGGAGGUGAAACUUUGUUGACAUGCGGAAGACAAACAACGAAACAGACAACAAAUUAUAAUAGGAAAUACUAGCAAUAUGAUUAACCCAAUGAAUAAGGUUUUGGUAGUAGUCUAGAAACCUCGUCCUGACCAGGAGUUCAAACAGUCAUUUAGAGAUAGGGGAGGGUCAGACAUGGACUUAACUUGGUGGCUCAUAUCAGACAGGAAGCCAGAGAUAUUUUGAUGGUAGUCAGGAAUAUAGACACAACAUUCAGUUUUUAUAAUGGCACAGGUGCCCCCUGUGCUGCUGUCAAGACAUCUAGUGCCAUUCGGUUUUGGAGGACUGCCUUAUACAUUUGGGACACUUCUAAAUCAAGCAGCAAAAGGCUAUGUUGUGUAUCAUUUUAACGCUUUCAUAGUAAAUUUGUUUAGAGCUUCCAUGGGCCAGAUGACACUUUCGAUUCCUAACUGGGGAAGGAAAAUUGAGGCAACGUGGUCAUACCAGUGGAAGACAGAGCAGGUCCAGCGCUGUUGCAGGUUGGGUCGGUUAGCAGGAGGAGAGAUAGUAAAUGUAGACCUUGCAUCCUGACAAAGCCUAGAGUGCAUCGUCCAAUCCAUCCAGGUGGCAGCCAAAGCCAUAAGUUGGAGCCACAUAGCCACUGAGUGCCAUUAGGGGCUAACCAACGCGUGCUGGGCCGUCUAUCCCAGUCAGUCCCAAACCAAUCAGUAUUUUUUAAGCUUAUGAUAUGAGAACACAUAUGACAGGGAAUUUUCCCAUAGGUCGGGUGCUAUUAGGCCAUGUAUCACAGGUGUGAUUGGUUUGUUCCCAAGAUAGAGUGGACUUUUACUGAGUUGAUCACUAGCAGGAGUGAGCCAAAUAUAUUCGUCCCAAAUUUGAUAUAGUCCAUCCUGUGUGUAUCAAUAAGUUGGGGACUUUACCUUUGGAACUUGUCGUUUAUGAUCCACCUAUGACAAGGCAAAUCUAGUUAGUAUUUGGGCAGCAGUAUUGAAGGAAAAGGUUUGAUUGUGGCCAGGGAACUCCCAGGUAUCAGAGACAGAUGGCCACAAGGAGACAUGAUUAGUAAUAGAUGACUCUUGUAGAGGAGAAGAGCUAGAAUCUAAUAUCCAUAAAUGCGUACUAUAGCUUCUACUGAAACAUAAUUUUUCUCUCUAAAAUCACCCUCAUUUUUACAAAAGAUAGCCAAAUUAAGAUUAACUGGUUUGCAAAAUAAGUGUAGUUUCAAUAAAACUUGGUCCAAUUAUUGACAUAAGUGCAGCAAGAAUGGCAAUUGAUUAUACAGGCUUUUUAAAUCUGCUUUGCUGGAAUUUUUCUUAUGAGGAAUCUCAGAUUGAACUGUAAAGGCCUCUCGAGGCCAGAAAAGCCAAGCCAAGGACUUGCCAUCAGAUUUUGCCUGCAGUACCUCCAGAUUUGGGUGGACUCCUCUCUUCUCGAGGUCCUCCAAAAUAUUCUGAGGUUCCUUGCACCUGCCAGAUAAGCAAGCUUCCUUACUUACCAGGUAAGAUUGCCAGAAUCUCUGUAAACAAGGUACCAGGCCCAUGUUUCCAAGUGGCUGUAUUCCAGAAAGUCCAAUCUUUGUUCCUGAAAAGCUGUCUUGUCAUAUCCGAGCCUGUAUGUUUCGCUCAAAUAUGACAUUCCAGUCAAAGCCUUGGUAAGAUAACCAAUGUGUCCUGUUAUAAGGAGACCAAAUUCUUAUUGAACUUAUGCAAAUAACUAUAUUGCCACGAAAUAACCGUACUCACAAAGAGUUUCCAAAUUCUGGAGGGAUCAGGUCGGGAGAAAAAGACAAAUGUUUCAGUUUUGCUCAUAAAGAUGUAUUUCACUAAAUUGCUGUAAGUCAUAGUUAGCAUAAGAGAAAAGAAAGAAAGAUUUCCUUAAACAUGAGAAAACAAAACAAAACAUCAAAACUCAGCAAUAUUUCAAACAGAAGUCAUAAAAAAUUAUAAUCAUUCUCAUCAGUUCACACAGUCCUGUAUAAUUGAUUAUUGAGUUUAAUCUUCUGUUAGCAGGUCUAUGAGCUUAGUUUCUGUUAGAAUUCUGUAAUUUCUUACCCAGUUCAGUUUUACAAUCUGAAAGUUUAUCAGAAACCUGUAGUUUAGAACCCUUGUGUCAGAAUCCUUUCCAGGAAUUUCUCUGGACAUGAAACAUAUUUGCAAAAGCAAAAAGCAUCAGUGUAAAACAGCAACUAUCUGCAAAUGGACAAAAGACUCAAAAGGGCAAUUGACAAAGAAACUUGGCUAUUUCUGUGACAUAUAACACUUUAAGAUAAUAACUGGAAUUAUGACUGAUAACCAGAACAGAUUAGAAUUUUAGGAAUGCUAUAUAAUGUUAAGACACGUAUAUUAAUAACAUUCACCCACGUAAUACCACAUAAGAAAGUUUAUCAUCGCUUAUUUGACAAUGCUUCCCAUGUAAUUUAGUAAACCAAAUAAACCUAAUUAAUUUAGUAUUUUCCUCCUUAUAGGAAGAGAGCAAAUUUCUUUGAGAAGUCUCAGGGGCCCUCUGAAAAUCCUCAGAGAAAUUCUUCUUCCAUCUACUAGGUCAAAAGAAAGCCUUUAUUCAGGAUUUGAAUAUUUUUGAGGGAGAAGCUUGUCAAAAAUAUCAAAAGUUUUUAAAAUGCUUGUUCAAUAGGAAACAACGCUCACUGUUAAACAAUGCUCAGGCAUCCAUUCAAAGUGACAACAGAGACAGUCAAGAGCAAACAACACCGUCAAAAAAAUUUUAGAAGAGACCUCUUUCUUUCUGAAUAUAGGAAAUUAUUUUAACAAAACAUAGAUUUUCUGUCUUUUAGGUAGAGUUAGAGCAGGCCAAAAGUUCAAGAAAAUUAUGCUUUGAGAGAAAACCAAAUUUUAAUUUCUGUACCAGCUUAUUUUUAACAUUAAAACUCAUUCACUUAAUUGGAUUUACUCUAAUCUUAGUCUACUUGACCAGGCAUAAAACUCCUUUCAGAAUUCCUCCUUCACAAAUCUACAACUUUCUUUUUGCCUUCAGAAUUUGUCCCAAAGUCUGUCUUUUUUUCUUUCUAGUACUUUAGGACAAACUUAUCUUUCUUAACCCAUCAAACAAAAAUACUUCCAUUCUUUAUACCCUCUUUACUGAAAACAUACAUUUUAACUUUCCUUCAAUACAGAGCUGUUUUCCUUAUUAACUUCCAGUAGCUUUAAUUAUAUAGGUUAAUAAGAACUUUUAACCCUUAACAGACCAUAGUAAACACUAAAAAGGUAAGCAAUUAUGAAUUGUCUUUUAUACCAGCAUUCUAAACACUUCAUAAUUUCUAGAAACACGCUGCUUUACAAUAACAGACCCAAAGACUUUUAGCCUCUCUGCAAUAAGAAGCCAAAAGUAGAUAACUUAGAUAAGUUUGGCUAUAAUGCUUGUGUGCUAUCCAAUCCAAAAAUGACCCAGAUGCUCAGAUUUUUAUCAUUUAACUUAACUUGGCAAAACUCAAGAUUGUUAUCAAAACAAUUUGGAAGCUUUUUUUUUUUUUUUCAAGUAUACAGACCAUAAAACAGUUAUUGUACCCACAAAAACUUCAUGAGACAUUAGACAAAACUGGUCAUCCUUUAAAGCUAUUAUUUUGCUGACGAAUUUAACAGACAAUGUGAACUUAUUUGACUAGUAAACCCAGGCUGCAUGCCUGCAUCAUAUGCAAAUACUGACAACUCUGACAAGAAGACUAUUUUCAAUCAAACCAACAAACUUAAACAAGCUUUCAUUUACCAAAAGUUAAUUCACAUCAAGUUAACUUGAAAGACAUUGGAUUAAUUUCUACUACAUUUAGAAUUUAUGUAAGCGCUUACUUGAAGCCAAUUAAACAGAGCUCUUAAUUUUGGUAACACCAUCCGGAGGUAAAAUAUCACACAUAUAACGUACACAUAGACACACGUACACAGAGACUGCACAGCUAUUGUUAGAGCUAUUGUUUUUUUACCAAUAUUUGUGGAGAAGAUACUCAAGAUGCUAGAUUUUUUGCAAGGGCACGCUUAUGGCCGUUUUCCCUCUCCCCUCCUCUUUCUUUCUUUCUUUCUUUUUUUUUUUUUUUUUCAGUCUUAGGAAUUAGUGAUGGGCUAGAUAGUAGUUCCUGGAGAGGGGAGAUGAUAAUCCUUUCUGUGAUAAAGGAACUAGGUGGAAUCUGAACUGCCUCUAGAGCUGUAUUUCCAGUCUUGCAAGGAUUUUCUAAGGACAGUUGCUCUUGAUUUCCCAGAAACUGGAUUGUAACUCAAAUUACAUUCCAGGUUGAUCUACCUGUCCAACUGCAUCACAAAGGCACAGAGAAACCCCUCAAAUUUUCUCCCAGAUGGAGUUAGAACGCAUCCACAGGGUGGGUCUCUGGGGAUGCUUAGGAACCUUCCCCGUGGCGGUAAAGCCAGUGUCUGACUGACAGCAGCUGGAGAAAGGGUGCAGAGGCCGAUUGCGGGUGUGCAGAGGCCGAUUGCGGGUGUUGACAUAGUUAUAAGAUUUAGUCAAGUCCCGCUCAGCCUGGGCACUUUGUCUCUGAGCCAGCAAAGUUGAGGUAGGGAAGCAGGAGGCAAAGGCCUGGAACUGGCUGGAGGCUGGGGCUCCCAGAGCCAGGUUUGAGAGUUAAAUCCCUGGCAAAAGGCUUAUUUUUCCAAUUUUACAGAAGGUCAAGGUUCUGCUCAGGUCUAACCUGAACUUAACCUCUACUUGGUGACAACAGAAGAGAUGGUGAGCAAAACAGACAAAGAAAGGAAAAGAAGAGAUCAGACCUCACCCUCAUGGCCUCUUCCAGAGGGUUAUCAAGAUAAGAGUCACACAACAGUUCCUGUACUGGGGCACACUACGCUAGCACGACAGUUCACAGAAUAAAUCACAGGUCUCCUACCCUCAUAACCGACUCAGUAGGUGACUAAAAUACUCAAUGAGUCGACUGUCAAGAGAGGGCACCCCCACUUAGGGUUGCUGGGGUGAUCAGGCCCAGAAACCCAAAGUUGGGGCUCCCAGGGGUGGAGCCUUUUACUCUUUAAAGAUUUCUUUGUUUCCCAGUCACAAGGCUCAAAAGGAGAUGAAAAUUGCCAUUGUAACUCCAAGAGAGACAAAAGAAACGGGUCCAUUACCAUGAAAAAUCCCCCCUGAACCUAGGGCAGCGUCCUACCCGUUGUUCCUACUGUGGGGUUCCUAUAGCAAGGGGUGAUGGGGGCGUCCCCCAGCAUUGCAUCCCUUGUAUACCUUCCCUGUUAUGCCUGGCAGUAACAGGUGCCUGGUGCCUAUUCUGCCUGACAGCAUAGGCCUGGUGAAUGGUUCCCGAGAGAAAAGGAGAAAGAAAAGGGGCCAUUACCUUGAAAAUCCCCCCAUUGGGGUUCCUGUAGCAAGGGAUGAUGGGGGCAUCCCUUGAACAUCUUCCCUAUUCUGCCUGGCAGGAAUAGGUGCCUGGCGUAUGGUCCCAGAGAAAGGGAGCCAUUACCUUGAAAAUCCCCCCAAUGGAGUUCCUGUAGCAAGGGAUGAUGGGGGCAUCCCUUGAACAUCUUCCCUAUUCUGCCUGACAGUAAUAGGUGCCUGGCGUAUGGUCCCAGAGAAAGGGAGCCAUUACCUUGAAAAUCCCCCCAAUGGAGUUCCUGUAGCAAGGGAUGAUGGGGGCAUCCCUUGAACAUCUUCCCUAUUCUGCCUGACAGUAAUAGGUGCCUGGCGUAUGGUCCCAGAGAAAGGGAGCCAUUACCUUGAAAAUCCCCCCAUUGGGGUUCCUGUAGCAAGGGAUGAUGGGGGCAUCCCUUGAACAUCUUCCCUAUUCUGCCUGGCAGGAAUAGGUGCCUGGCGUAUGGUCCCCAGGAGAGAAAAGGACAAAGACAGUGAGAAAGAGAAAGACAGUGAGGAAUUUUCCGCCAGUCUGGGGGACAUUCUACCCAAUUGCAUCCUGGAGCCAUUCUCCCAAGAAGGGGUUCCCAUACUCCACCAAAGGUUAGAGUUUGGUACUUCCCUUGAACUGGAGUCCCGAGUGGGACUUUCCUCGCAGUUCAGAGCGUGGUCAGGUGCCAGAGGGAGGGAUGCCAAUCCAGCCUUAGGAAAAGAAACCUUCCACGGGAGUCUUGGAGAUUGGCGGCCGUCCUAACGACUUAAGUGGCCGACCCGCGCCCACGUAAAAUUUGUCUAUUAGAGAUAGAGUCAGGAAGGAAUGGAUUAAUUCAUUCUCCAUCACCCUGAGGCUUAAGGUACUGAAUCUCUUCAAGCUGAAUGCCACAAUUUGCCCCAUAGAGUAGCCAUGGGCAGCAAACGUGGAUUCAUACAGCCAUCCAAGAAAGUUCCCGAUGGAGCAGUGAAUCUAGAUCCAUCCUUGAAAAAGAGCAGGAAGGAAUGGAUUAAUUCAUUCUCCAUCACCCUGAGGCUUAAGGUACUGAAUCUCUUCAAGCUGAAUGCCACAAUUUGCCCCAUAGAGUAGCCAUGGGCAGCAAACGUGGAUUCAUACAGCUGUCCGAGAAAGUUCCCGAUGGAGCAGUGAAUCUAGAUCCAUCCUUGAAAAAGAGAAAGGCACAAGGAAGAAAAGGGCACUUACCAGAACUCGAGCUCACAAGCCGAUGAAGCAAUUCCCCGUACGGGCCACCAGAAAUGAUGCGGGAUCGGUGAGCCGAGGAGUCGAAAGAAAGAUUUCUUAGACUCUCAAGAUCUGGCAGUAGUGCUCUUUUAUUUAGAGAAUAGUGUGGAAUAGCAUGGGGACAGGACCCAUGGGCAGGCAGAGCUUCUGCUGCUGCUGCCGCUGGCAUGGGGACAGGACCCAUGGGCAGGCAGAGCUGGUGCGUGGGGACAGGACCCACGGGCGGUCAGAGCUCCUGCUGCUGCCGAGUUGAGGGUUAGGGCUAAUUUUAUAAGGCAUGGGUACGUGACUUAUUUUUACUGGAGAAAAGAAAAGAUGAUGUAAAAAGUCAUUAAAUGAUUUCAGUGCAGAUGGGGUCUGGUUAUUGUGCGGUCAUAUAACUUUAGAUACGAAUCUGGCCAUAUAGAUCGGCAUGCAGGUGAGGAUGCCCCGGGCUUCUCUCCCUGGGGCAGUCCUAAUUCAUACCAUAAAAAAAGUCCACUGGGUCGUAUAGUUUGGCACGUAGGCCAGGUCACCUUGGGCUUCUCUAGCUGGGGCAGCCUUAAUCCACAUCAUUAUGAUUCCCGUUUUACAGAUGUGGGAAUUGAGGGGUUACUUAUGUAACUUGCCCAAAAUUAUCCAGCUGGCAACACUUGGGACUAGCAUGCGGGCAGCCUCCAGCGCGCUGGGGUCAACUGCUGCAACGGUUCAAGAUCCCGAGUCCGAAGUUCAUUCACCACACAGCCAUAGUUACUUGCCUCUAUAUAUACCUUUCCCACUAGAUUGUGAGAUUAAAUUUCGUAAAACUGAAGCACAACAUCAUACAGAAAAGUACAGAAAUCAUAAGUGUACUCUGCAGUUGUUACAAUGUGGACGCUCUUGUACAACCAUCACUGAGUUUAAGAAACAGAGCAUGCUCAGCAUCCCAGAAGCGCCCCAUCACUCUCAGUCACUGCCCUGUUCCUCCUCUGAAGUGACCACUACC